AUUCUGCCCAUGCGGGGAAGGAUGAGAAGCUUCGACUAAGGUUCGGCUAGAGCGGCAGCGAGAGAGCGUUGCCGCAGGCAACGACCCGAAGGGCGAAGCGCGCAGCGCUGAGUAAUCCUUCCCCCACCACCA
rnacentral:sRNA from 1 species